UACACUGUGCUUUUAGUCAGAUUCAAGCCGUUCGAUUUGACCAUGGAUUUAAAGGAAGCACAUCGACAAUGUGUGCAAUACAUUAGUGUAAUAUUGUUGAAUUUUUAUUAUGGGAGUGUUUGUGGCUAGAAUUAAUCUUAGCAAGCCUAAAGUUAUUAUGGUGUAUUGGUGUGUAUGACUGCCAACGAACUCGGCCUACUAAAGUCUAUGAUAUAAAUGUGUUUAAUAUUACAGUUUAGUGGUAUUCUUCUUCAUUUGUAAGUGAGAGAUUUUAGGUUUGAAUUUUGAGAACAGUGAGUUCGCAACCAAUCUACUCUCACUUCUUUAGUUGUAUUCUUUUUCACUUGUAAGGAUUAAGAAACAAUCGAAUAGACGUAAAAUCGACAGUAAGGCACGAACAUUGUAGAUUUGGGCUUAGUGUGCGAUUUGGGUCUUCGCUUGGAAGGAUAUAAGAACAGUUGAAAAGAUGAAAAAUGGGCAACAAGGCCUAAAGAUUAUAAAUUUAGGCAAAUGUCCAAUUUCCACCCAUGAUUCGCCAUUUCAAUGAGAACAAUGAAGUGAACAAGACGUGGAGUUCACCUCAACGUAGGGGCAUUUUUGUUUGUUGAAUUCCAUCAUUUAUUAGUCUAAAACGGAACUUUAAAAUUUAGGACCUUUUCGAUAUUGUGUUGUUUGUUUAAAUCACAGUUAUACACCUAUUUUUUGGUCGAGAGAGACUGUGAAGAAUUUCACCAUGUUCGUGGUCACAGUCAAGCCGACUCAUUAGCUCGGAGCAUCUAACUCUAAACGUCCCAUAUUUUUUUUGUUUAUUGGAGAGCCUCAGUUCGCGUUUCUUACCACUGAGUCAUUUGCUAUGGUUGUGUGGAUUAAUUUAUUGGAUGCGAACCUCAGUGGCAUAGACUAAGCAAAAGCAGGACAUCAUGGUACCAAUAUUUAGAUAAUAAUUAUCCUUUUGCCUUUCUCCCAGAAUCACACCAACACGUUGCUCAAGAAGAACAUACACACCCACACCCCAAUGAUCGCAUUAAGUCCAAUAUUCCAAUAUAUAAACACACCCUGCAACGAGAUUGGCGCAUCGUAUUCUUGCUUAAUCAUCGCAUUAACAAAUUACGAACCAAAAUAGAAGUGAUUUUUCUCAGCGUAUAACAGUUGCAAUGCUCGUGUAUCAAUCACUUACGUACGUGUAAUAUUAUACUUUUAUGAUAUAUCAAUUAUACUAGUGUUAUUUGUAUUAUACUACUUAUUACGCGUGAGUCUGUAAUAGUACUCCAACAUUUCUUGUCAAGUACAAACCAAAUUCUUGAAGCUUGUGAAAUUUGUGACAACGUUUUGAGCAAAGAAAACAAUUUUCUUUAAUAAUAAUUAACACCAAAUUCUUGAGUACUGCAAAAUCACUUUUUUUUUUUUUUUUUUCAUUUUAUCUUUGUUAGAAAUAAGAAGAAAAAAACUCACGUGAUGUGCUUUUUUCGCUCAUAAUGUCACGGUACCAGGGAUUCCCGUGGUGUGAUUGGAACCAGUGAUGGUUUUGAUGUCGUUUUGUAACUUUUCUGCAAAUGGUUUCUGACACUUUGAUCUGAGAGCCUGAGAGUCUCCGCCCUUUCCAGUUCUCCCCCUUUGCAGCUUUCUUUCUGGGAGUUCUCACUUCCACCUUCUCUAUCCCUAUAAUUUUUGGAUGAAAUGCCUUCAAUUAUUGUUUUGUUUACUAGCUAGAUGCUCAACAAACAAAUUUAGAAGUUGGUUUGUUAGUAGUGGAAAAGUGGGAGUAUUGGAUGGCUAGUGGUUUAGGCUAGUCAACUUUCUUUGUGUAAGUUAGACAAGUUAUGCAAGUUACGCAAGUUAGGCUAGUGGUUUAGGCUAGUCAACUUUCUUUGUGUAAGUUAGGCAAGUUAGGUAAGUUAGGCAAGUUAGACUUUUGUCUUUUUUAAGUUACGUAAGUUAGGCAAGUUAGGUAAGUUAGGCAAGUUAGGCUUUUGUCUUUUUUAAGUUAGGCCAGUUAGGCAAGUUACGUAAGUUAAGCAAGUUAUGCAAGUUACGUAAGUUAGGGUUAUGUCUUCUUUCUUUCCCUAUAUAUAUGUUUCAUCUUGUAAUUGUUUCUUCAUGGAAUACACAUCAAAAAUUCUACAGUUGGGGUUUAGUAUGUAUAAUAAAUAAAUAUUGAGCGACCCCAUCAUCAUUUCUCCUAUACAGGAGGCACCCCACCACCUCUCAUUUUCCUGUAAACCGUUUCAAUAACAUGUCCUGGGAGGAGAAUGGCCACCGCGUGGUGCGCACCCUUCAUCUUGUUGUUCAUGGCGUUCAUUGCCUUCAUGGUGUCCAUAAACUUGGUCAUUUCGUACAAGCUGUUUCCACCGCUCCCUCCCAAUUUCCUGUUUAUCGCCGGUGAUUGGAGGAAGGAGGGCUCGGUGAGUCCAGUCAAAGACUAUUUAUUUAAUUUUUUUUUUUUUGUUAAUACGAAAAUAAUUCUGGUUUUAUUUGUUUGUUAAUGAUUAAUCAUUGAUGUUUGUCUUGUUGCGUGUUCAUAAUCCGUUUAGACUUUUGGGUUUGCUUGAUGAUAGAGCAAAGGUGUGUGAUUAGGGAGUCGUUGACUUUGCUAAUCUGAUUGUUUGUUGCUUAAGCAAAGGUGUUUAACCUAAAUCAACCUUCGACUGUUCACUUAAAACAGCUGAUGGUCGCUGAUAAUUUCGUAAUCCAAAGUUUCAGGCAUAGAUUUUGCAGUUUCCAUGUUUCCAGGAGUUACCUUGUAUUUUGAGACCACACAUGUGAACAUAAUUCCAAUUUUUUGUGUUGUAAAAAUGAAAAAUGGAUAAAAAUAUCUUCCUAUUUUCGUGGUAGGAAAAAGAACAGGUAAAAAUAUCUGACAAGAAUCUCAGCUCCAUUGAAGUAAAAGGGUCCUCUUAUCAGGCUCUCUUUGUAAUUCAUUGGCUUUUGAUAUAAAUUAUCCGAAAAAGUAGAUAGUUUUGAAUUCAACUAGUACUCAAUUGGACCAGCGUAUCAUAAUUAUCGGAGAAAUAAUUAGUUGAUGCAUUUGCUCUAACCUUACCAUGUGUCCCUGGCAAGUGAUUUGUAGGUUCAGAUACUGUCAUGACCAAAUAUUUGCAUAUGAAUUAUGUUAAUUUACUCUUGGAAUAAUUUUGAGGGGUAAUCGGUUGAGUCUCUGAUUGUAUUUCGUUUGUCGCCCGUUAAGUCAUGUUACAUUGUUUUGCUUUCGUGUUGAAACAGAGCAAGGGCAAUCCUAAGAGCAACUCCACCGGGAACAAAAUGUCCCAGCCCUCAGUCCAAAAAACAAGCCAGCCCUCAGUGAAUUUGCUCCAGCCCACAAAAUGUCCCAGCCCCCAGCCCAUGCCAGGCAACAGGCCAGCCCAUUUCGGACAGACCCAGAGGCCGGCCUAUUGGCUGGCGCGUGCAGCAGAAUCGCGCAUGUGCGCGAGUAGCAGACAGGGUUGCAGGCGGCGGGGCCCGCUUGUCAGCCCACUUGUGUUCACCCGGAAUAGGGCUACGUGGCCCUCCUCAGUGCCGUUGGAUUUCCAACGGCUAUUUUUUGUAGACCGUUGGAUUUCCAACAGUAAAAAAAAUUUAAAUUUGACUUUUAAAAAGGACCGUCCGAUCACAGAUCAACGGUCCACGUUAAUGAACUAAAUUAAAAUUUAUUAAAAAUACAGAAAAAUUAUUAAAAAAUACAGAAAAGUUUUAAAAAAAAGAAAAAAAUUCUAUAAAUACCUAACCCUCAUCUUCCACCUUACACCACAUUUCAAUAUUUUCUACACUUUCUACCAAAGCUUUCAUAUACUUUUUGUGUGAAAAAAAAUACCAAAAAGCUUGUGGUUGAAGAAUAAAGUGUAUUUGAUGAGUUUAUGUAAUUUCAUUUUAGUGUGUUUUUUUUUAUAGUUUAUUUGAUGAGUAUGUAAUUUUAUUACUAUUCACUCCAGUCUAUUACUGUUCACUUGAGUGGAUAAAUGCGCUGGGUGCUGGCGCAAAGUCCUUAGGGGUGGAAUUGCUCUAAUGAGAGGAAGGAGUAGUGGAGGUCUGUAUUACAUCGCAAAUAGUCGAAUAAGCAGCAUGGUGUUUCUAAUCCAAAAGCAUUUCUUGGGCAAAUCAUGAAGGCUUUCUUGUGGCACCACAGAUUAGGACAUCGCAGAAAUGCUAUGUUACAUAGAAUGUUGUCUCAUUCUAAAGUUGUGUAUAAAUCAGAUAUAAAAGAAACACCAUUAGUGUAAUGUUGUCUCAUUCUAAAGUUACAUUAGUGUAAUGUUGUUGAAUUUUUAUUAUGGGAGUAUUUGUGGCUAGAAUUAAUCUUAGCAAGCCUAAAGUUAUUAUGGUGUAUUGGUGUGUAUGACUGCCAAUGAACUCGGCCUACUAAAGUUUAUGAUAUAAAUGUGAUUUAAUAUUAUAGUUU
rnacentral:lncRNA from 1 species